rnacentral:rRNA from 1 species
GCAGCACAGUAAGAGCUUGCUCUUAUGGGUGGCGAGUGGCGGACGGGUGAGGAAUACAUCGGAAUCUACUUUUUCGUGGGGGAUAACGUAGGGAAACUUACGCUAAUACCGCAUACGACCUUCGGGUGAAAGCAGGGGACCUUCGGGCCUUGCGCGAUUGAAUGAGCCGAUGUCGGAUUAGCUAGUUGGCGGGGUAAAGGCCCACCAAGGCGACGAUCCGUAGCUGGUCUGAGAGGAUGAUCAGCCACACUGGAACUGAGACACGGUCCAGACUCCUACGGGAGGCAGCAGUGGGGAAUAUUGGACAAUGGGCGCAAGCCUGAUCCAGCCAUACCGCGUGGGUGAAGAAGGCCUUCGGGUUGUAAAGCCCUUUUGUUGGGAAAGAAAAGCAGCGGGCUAAUACCUUGCUGUUCUGACGGUACCCAAAGAAUAAGCACCGGCUAACUUCGUGCCAGCAGCCGCGGUAAUACGAAGGGUGCAAGCGUUACUCGGAAUUACUGGGCGUAAAGCGUGCGUAGGUGGUUGUUUAAGUCUGUUGUGAAAGCCCUGGGCUCAACCUGGGAACUGCAGUGGAAACUGGAUGACUAGAGUGUGGUAGAGGGUAGCGGAAUUCCCGGUGUAGCAGUGAAAUGCGUAGAGAUCGGGAGGAACAUCCAUGGCGAAGGCAGCUACCUGGGACCAACACUGACACUGAGGCACGAAAGCGUGGGGGAGCAAACGGGAUUAGAUACCCCUGGGUAGUCCACGCCCCUAAACGAUGC